rnacentral:tRNA from 1 species
GCAGCUGUGGUUCAGUGGUAGAAUGAAACCUUCCCAAGGUUUUGAUGCGGGUUCGAUUCCCGCCAGCUGCA